UGGUUGAUUGUUCUGCUGCCAGUGUCUUGU
rnacentral:piRNA from 1 species